UACAGGGGGUGCAAGCGUUGUUCGGAAUUAUUGGGCGUAAAGCGCGCGCAGGCGGUCCUUUAAGUCUGAUGUGAAAGCCCACGGCUCAACCGUGGAGGGUCAUUGGAAACUGGGGGACUUGAGUACAGAAGAGAAGAGUGGAAUUCCACGUGUAGCGGUGAAAUGCGUAGAGAUGUGGAGGAACACCAGUGGCGAAGGCGACUCUUUGGUCUGUAACUGACGCUGAGGCGCGAAAGCGUGGGGAGCAAACAGG
rnacentral:rRNA from 1 species